ensembl:lncRNA
GCCAAACUUGAUGCUGGGGAUUUAUUUUUGUCAGUGGAGUCAAAUGGUUGAAGCAGAAUUUGCCCGUCUUACAUCUGUUGACCUGAAAGGGUUCCUUUUGCUGUGCUUGACCAUUAUGGAGAGGUUCGUGGAGCUGUACAAAAUCAAGAGCGGCAUAGGAGGGCUAACCAGGCUCAUAAGAUGCUUCGGUGAUGAUAGCCCUACACAAAGGAAGAGGACAGAGGACCUCAUUUUCUAAAGGAAGAUCCCUCACACACUUUCAAGACUGUGAAGCCGACAGGUACUGAAGACACGUUUUCUAAGAGGAUGAAAGUUGGCAUUGUGAUGGUGAAAGAAGAAGACAUCAUCGAUGUGUUGGUUGUCCUUGAGGCGGCAGUAAUCCUGUCUAAUCUAAGGGAUGUCUCAAGUGCCAUUUCCAUGCUGAUGGGCCUUCUUUUUGCCCUCAACAUAGACUAUCCAAAGGAACUUAAGGACAUCUUUGAAGUCAUUCAGAACGUCCUAAUGAACAUUGGUGGAAGGCAGUGCGUCUCACUAGUGCAUGGUCUACACUGAAAAAAGAACCAACUUAAUUGAAUUAGGUGUUACCAAUUGAAAUAAUUCAAUUAAGUUGGUUCACCUAUUUUCUUUUUACAGUGUAAGAAACAGACUCUUGCAGAAAGCCAUGCAGAACUGUAAUUGUAUGCUCACAGCAUACAAUUGCCUUAGUGUUAAGGACAGUUUUAUUUUACUGUUUGUUUUUUACUCUUGCAAGUUCUCAUUCUCACUUUUGUAUGUCACUAAAUGACUACACUUUACAUUCCAGAUUAGACAAUUACUCAUUUGUUCAUGGUUUAAGAAACUUAUGUGAACAACAAUAU